GACGAACGCUGGCGGCGUGCUUAACACAUGCAAGUCGAACGGAAAGGCCCUGCUUGCAGGGUACUCGAGUGGCGAACGGGUGAGUAACACGUGGGUGAUCUGCCCUGCACUUCGGGAUAAGCCUGGGAAACUGGGUCUAAUACCGGAUAGGAGCCAUUUUUAGUGUGAUGGUUGGAAAGUUUUUUCGGUGUAGGAUGAGCUCGCGGCCUAUCAGCUUGUUGGUGGGGUAAUGGCCUACCAAGGCGGCGACGGGUAGCCAGCCUGAGAGGGUGGACGGCCACAUUGGGACUGAGAUACGGCCCAGACUCCUACGGGAGGCAGCAGUGGGGAAGAUUGCACAAUGGGCGCAAGCCUGAUGCAGCGACGCCGCGUGGGGGAUGACGGCCUUCGGGUUGUAAACUCCUUUCGCUAGGGACGAAGCUUUUUGUGACGGUACCUAGAUAAGAAGCACCGGCUAACUACGUG
rnacentral:rRNA from 1 species